AUUGAACGCUGGCGGCAGGCCUAACACAUGCAAGUCGAACGAGCGGCGGACGGGUGAGUAAUGUCUGGGGAACUGCCCGAUGGAGGGGGAUAACUACUGGAAACGGUAGCUAAUACCGCAUACUAUCGGAUGUGCCCAGAUGGGAUUAGCUAGUAGGUGGGGUAACGGCUCACCGAGGCGACGCUCCCUAGCUGGUCUGAGAGGAUGACCAGCGACACUGGAACUGAGACACGGUCCAGACUCGUACGAGAGGCAGCAGUGGGGAAUAUUGAACAAUGGGCGCAAGCCUGAUGCAGCCAUGCCGCGUGUAGGAAGAAGGCCGUCGGGUUGUAAAGUACUUUCAGCGGGGAGGCGUUACUCGCAGAAGAAGCACCGGCUAACGCCGUGCCAGCAGCCGCGGUAAUAG
rnacentral:rRNA from 1 species